CAGCAAGGUAUCAGGUAGUCUCAAGGUGGUGCAGUUGUUAAGGCAUCUUUCCCUGGCAUUCCUGCAUGGCAUCGCGACUGAUGGAAAGGAUGUAACGAAAGCUGUCUCUGAUGCAUCACGCAGAGACAGCACACUCACCUACUGACAGAGGUGUGCCGGAGGGAUAGAAUAAGGAAAAUAAUUACAUUUGGCAAGUGUGUCUAUGAAUAGUGUAUGUAAUCAUGUAUGAAACAUAUUUCCUGACUGUCC